AGUCGUAUAAUUUAGUUUGUUUUAGUCAACUGACAUAUGUGUUUAUGUUAUGCCUGUUUCUCCAGAAGUCAUUUUUUUUUUGGUCUUGAAAACUGAAAUUUUCUCUUCUUUUGACAUUUUGCAGGUAAAGGUACUCGUUGUAAAACUGGUGCUGAUUGGCUUUCUCUGAAGAUUGUUGAUCCUUCCAUUGUAAACUUUGGUGUUGACAAUUCUUGAGUCCUUCUUUCUUUGUCAUUUCUAAAUAAAUACAAAUUUUUGACCCAAGAAGAUUCAGUUUCUUGAGCUAUGGAAAAACAUGUGCUGGAGAAAUUUGAGGCUUCCAGGAUCAAGUUCAUUACAGUCAGAAACCCUGUUGAGAAACUUUGUUCAGAUGUGGUUCAAGACUUGCUUGCUGAAGCCUCUUUCGUUUAUGGAAAACCAUUGCCUCCCCUUCUAAUUAUUACAUGAAUAUGCUUUGAAAAGAAAUCAUGAAUAUGGAAAGAAGCCAUGGGUAUUGUUCAGCUAGAAAACUGAACCAAGGAUGAUGCUUGCUUUGUCAUGCGGAUCUUUAUAACCUGUUAACUUCUCUGAGGCGGUCUAAUCAGUCCAUUACAGAUGAGAAGAAGAGCUUUCCGAGGUCACAAGUCCCCAUGUUCAAAAACUCCUGAAUCAUGACUGUCUGAUUUUGCAAAAGAAUGUUCAGAUGAUUCUGAAGCAGUGCCAGAAAGGUUUAUCUACAGAGAGGAAUGUCGGAAAAUGAAGACAAUGGUCAUAAGGGGUGGCUGAUUCUGUUUGCAGGAAAGAUCCAGAUAUUAGACAACAUGCUCUGGCGAGCGAACCAGUCUUACUUGAUGGUGACAACUCUUUUUGAGAAAUUUAGUUUCAGGUUCCAAACCAUUGAUGAAAGAUAAUGGAAUCUUCAAGAAUGAGGCAGAGCAGAGAACAUGAAUACAUUGAAACUCACCGGUCAAGUACUCAAUUGCACCUUAACAACGCUGGUCGCUAAGUAUAAGCCCCUGCUUCGGUUCUGGAUAGAUGUUUCCGGUUUGGUUUAGCCGAAUAAAAUUAGACAGGCUAUAGAGGAAAUAGUCUUUAAUUAAUUUAAUUUCGAUGUAACUAACAAUAGUACAUGUUUUAAGCGUUGAUUAACCGUUAAAAAAAGUGAUGUGAAUCCUACAAAUUUGUAAUAAACGUACACUU
rnacentral:lncRNA from 1 species